GACCCUAAUAAAGACAUUAAUCUUUGAAUCAGAGUGUACUCCUCAAAGUCAGUUUUCAGUUCAUGCACCUUCAAAUCUCAACAAGCAAGAAGAAUAUGGUGUGUUUAUUAAAACUACAGAUGAUACCACAACAGAUAAUUACACUGCACAAGG